rnacentral:rRNA from 1 species
AAACUGGGAUUAGAUACCCCACUAUGCCUGACUGUAAACUACAAGCCAAAAAAGUACGAGCCACACUUGAAACUUAAAGGACCUGGCGGUACUUUACAUCGACCUAGAGGGGCCUGUCCUAUAAUCGAUAAUCCACGAAAAACCCAACCAUCUCUUGCCCUCAGCCUAUAUACCGCCGUCUCCAGCCCAUUUCCCAAAAAAUGAAGCUAAACAGUCCCACACACAAGCACGUCAGGUCAAGGUGUAGCUCAUGAGAUGGAAGAGGCGGGCCACAAUACC